rnacentral:ncRNA from 1 species
GGCGCGGUCAACGAGUCGGGUUGUUUGGGAAUGCAGCCCAAAUCGGGCGGUAGACUCCGUCCAAGGCUAAAUACAGGCGAGAGACCGAGUGCGAACAAGUACCGCGAGGGAAAGAUGAAAAGGACUUUGAAAAGAGAGUCAAAGAGUGCUUGAAAUUGCCGGGAGGGAAGCGGAUGGGGGCCGGCGAUGCGCCCCGGCCGUAUGCGGAACG